rnacentral:tRNA from 1 species
GGUUGUGUAGCUCAGUUGGUUAGAGCGGUCCGAUCACAUCGGACAGGCCUCUGGUUCAAAUCCAGACACGACCA